rnacentral:rRNA from 1 species
ACGGAAGGCAGCAGUGGGGAAUAUUGCACAAUGGGCGAAAGCCUGAUGCAGCGACGCCGCGUGAACGAAGAAGUAUUUCGGUAUGUAAGGUUCUAUCAGCAGGGAAGAUAAUGACGGUACCUGACUAAGAAGCACCGGCUAAAUACGUGCCAGCAGCCGCGGUAAUACGUAUGGUGCAAGCGUUAUCCGGAUUUACUGGGUGUAAAGGGAGCGCAGGCGGCGCGGCAAGUCUGAAGUGAAAUCCCGGGGCUCAACCCCGGAACUGCUUUGGAAACUGUCGUGCUAGAGUGUCGGAGGGGUAAGCGGAAUUCCUAGUGUAGCGGUGAAAUGCGUAGAUAUUAGGAGGAACACCAGUGGCGAAGGCGGCUUACUGGACGAUAACUGACGCUGAGGCUCGAAAGCGUGGGGAGCAAACAGGAUUAGAUACCCUGGUA